rnacentral:rRNA from 1 species
UACGUAGGGGGCAAGCGUUGUCCGGAAUCAUUGGGCGUAAAGAGCGUGUAGGCGGCUCGGUAAGUCCGCUGUGAAAGUCCAGGGCUCAACCCUGGAAUGCCGGUGGAAACUGUCGAGCUAGAGUCCGGAAGAGGCGAGUGGAAUUCCUGGUGUAGCGGUGAAAUGCGCAGAUAUCAGGAGGAACACCAACGGCGAAAGCACUCUGCUGGGCCGACACUGACACUGAGAGACGAAAGCUAGGGGAGCGAAUGGG